UACGUAGGGCGCAAGCGUUAUCCGGAAUUAUUGGGCGUAAAGAGCUCGUAGGCGGUUUGUCGCGUCUGCUGUGAAAACUGGAGGCUCAACCUCCAGCCUGCAGUGGGUACGGGCAAACUAGAGUGCGGUAGGGGAGAUUGGAAUUCCUGGUGUAGCGGUGGAAUGCGCAGAUAUCAGGAGGAACACCGAUGGCGAAGGCAGAUCUCUGGGCCGUAACUGACGCUGAGGAGCGAAAGCGUGGGGAGCGAACAGG
rnacentral:rRNA from 1 species